rnacentral:rRNA from 1 species
GACGAACGCUGGCGGCGUGCUUAACACAUGCAAGUCGAACGAUGAAGAAAAGAAUUGAAGCUUCGGCAGAAAUGCAUUUCGGAUUAGUGGCAGACGGGUGAGUAACGCGUGAGCAACCUACCUCUUACAAAGGGAUAGCCUCGGGAAACCGGGAUUAAUACCAUAUAACAUUGCGACGAAGCAUUUCGAUGCAAUCAAAGCUACGGCGGUAAGAGAUGGGCUCGCGUCCCAUUAACCAGAUGGUGAGGUAACGGCUCACCAUAGUAACGAUGGGUAACCGGCCUGAGAGCGUGACCGGUCACGCUGGAACUGAGACCCGGUCCAGACUCCUACGGGAGGCAGCAGUGGGGAAUAUUGCACAAUGGAGGGAGCUCUGAUGCAGCGACGCCGCGUGAGUGAUGAAGGAAUUCGUUUCGUAAAACUCUGUUCUAUGAGAAGAAAAGGACUGUACCGUAGGAGAAAGCUCCGGCUAACUACGUG